rnacentral:rRNA from 1 species
UACGUAGGGGGCAAGCGUUGUCCGGAAUCAUUGGGCGUAAAGAGCGUGUAGGCGGUCCGGUCAGUCGGUUGUGAAAGUCAAGGGCUCAACCCUUGAAUGCCGGCCGAUACUGCCGGGCUAGAGUCCGGAAGAGGUGAGUGGAAUUCCUGGUGUAGCGGUGAAAUGCGCAGAUAUCAGGAAGAACACCUAUGGCGAAGGCAGCUCUCUGGGACGGUACUGACGCUGAGACGCGAAAGCGUGGGGAGCGAACAGG